UGUUCUGUGGCGGAGUUGGUUAACGCGCCCUGUCUAGCGAACUUGGGGAGACGUGGGUUCAAAUCCCACCAGAGCUA
rfam:Aedes albopictus isolate Foshan contig24847, whole genome shotgun sequence.